GGCACUGUGGCUUAGCUGUCUAGUAAACAGGAGAUCCUGGGUCCAAAUCCCAGCAGUGCCU
rnacentral:tRNA from 1 species